GAAGAGGAAGGCAGAAGCUCUUGACCGGUACUGAUAUUGUCUUAUAGCCUUUUCAUAUUUGUUCCUUGCCUUUUUGUCAUGAUAUAAAUGGAGAUGUUCUUCCUGUUACUCAAGGUUUUCUGUGGGAAAUGGUUUCUAUUGCAGUUGGACCAUAUCCAUGGGAAAAAGGGUUUAGUAUUUGUGGAGUAUCUUCUAUGAAUUUCUUUGAAUCAGCUGC
rnacentral:misc_RNA from 1 species